rnacentral:rRNA from 1 species
UGCAAGUCGAGCGGAGAUGAGGUGCUUGCACCUUAUCUUAGCGGCGGACGGGUGAGUAAUGCUUAGGAAUCUGCCUAUUAGUGGGGGACAACAUUCCGAAAGGAAUGCUAAUACCGCAUACGUCCUACGGGAGAAAGCAGGGGAUCUUCGGACCUUGCGCUAAUAGAUGAGCCUAAGUCGGAUUAGCUAGUUGGUGGGGUAAAGGCCUACCAAGGCGACGAUCUGUAGCGGGUCUGAGAGGAUGAUCCGCCACACUGGGACUGAGACACGGCCCAGACUCCUACGGGAGGCAGCAGUGGGGAAUAUUGGACAAUGGGGGGAACCCUGAUCCAGCCAUGCCGCGUGUGUGAAGAAGGCCUUAUGGUUGUAAAGCACUUUAAGCGAGGAGGAGGCUACUGAGACUAAUACUCUUGGAUAGUGGACGUUACUCGCAGAAUAAGCACCGGCUAACUCUGUGCCAGCAGCCGCGGUAAUACGUAGGGUGCGAGCGUUAAUCGGAAUUACUGGGCGUAAAGCGUGCGCAGGCGGUUAUGUAAGACAGAUGUGAAAUCCCCGGGCUCAACCUGGGAACUGCAUUUGUGACUGCAUGGCUAGAGUACGGUAGAGGGGGAUGGAAUUCCGCGUGUAGCAGUGAAAUGCGUAGAUAUGCGGAGGAACACCGAUGGCGAAGGCAAUCCCCUGGACCUGUACUGACGCUCGUGCACGA